rnacentral:misc_RNA from 1 species
AACGCACAUUGCGCCCGCCAGUAUUCUGGCGGGCAUGCCUGUUCGAGCGUCAUUUCAACCAUCAAGCGCCUGCGCUUGUGUUGGAGCCCUGCGGCUGCCGCAGGCUCCCAAACCCAGUGGCGGGCUCGUCGUCGUUCCGAGUGCAGUAAACUUACCACGCUCAGGGCACGCGACGGGUUACCGGCCGUAAAACCCCCAUCUUAUCAAGGUUGACCUCGGAUCAGGUAGGAAUACCCGCUGAACUUAA